UUCCGCAAUGGGCGAAAGCCUGACGGAGCAAUACCGCGUGAGGGAUGACGGCCUAUGGGUUGUAAACCUCUUUUUUCAGGGAGGAAUCAAUGACGUGUACCUGAAGAAUAAGCAUCGGCUAACUCCGUGCCAGCAGCCGCGGUAAGACGGAGGAUGCAAGUGUUAUCCGGAAUCACUGGGCGUAAAGCGUCUGUAGGUGGUUUAAUAAGUCAACUGUUAAAUCUUGAGGCUCAACCUCAAAAUCGCAGUCGAAACUAUUAGACUAGAGUAUAGUAGGGGUAAAGGGAAUUUCCAGUGGAGCGGUGAAAUGCGUAGAUAUUGGAAGGAACACCGAUGGCGAAGGCACUUUACUGGGCUAUUACUAACACUCAGAGACGAAAGCUAGGGUAGCAAAUGGGAUUAGAUACCCCAGUAGUC
rnacentral:rRNA from 1 species